rnacentral:rRNA from 1 species
CGGAGAGUUUGAUCCUGGCUCAGAUUGAACGCUGGCGGCAGGCCUAACACAUGCAAGUCGAGCGGUAGAGAGAAGCUUGCUUCUCUUGAGAGCGGCGGACGGGUGAGUAAUGCCUAGGAAUCUGCCUGGUAGUGGGGGAUAACGUCCGGAAACGGACGCUAAUACCGCAUACGUCCUACGGGAGAAAGCAGGGGACCUUCGGGCCUUGCGCUAUCAGAUGAGCCUAGGUCGGAUUAGCUAGUUGGUGGGGUAAUGGCUCACCAAGGCGACGAUCCGUAACUGGUCUGAGAGGAUGAUCAGUCACACUGGAACUGAGACACGGUCCAGACUCCUACGGGAGGCAGCAGUGGGGAAUAUUGGACAAUGGGCGAAAGCCUGAUCCAGCCAUGCCGCGUGUGUGAAGAAGGUCUUCGGAUUGUAAAGCACUUUAAGUUGGGAGGAAGGGCAGUAAAUUAAUACUUUGCUGUUUUGACGUUACCGACAGAAUAAGCACCGGCUAACUCUGUGCCAGCAGCCGCGGUAAUACAGAGGGUGCAAGCGUUAAUCGGAAUUACUGGGCGUAAAGCGCGCGUUAGGUGGUUCGUUAAGUUGGAUGUGAAAUCCCCGGGCUCAACCUGGGAACUGCAUUCAAAAC